rnacentral:rRNA from 1 species
AUGAACGCUGGCGGCGCGCCUAAUACAUGCAAGUCGAGCGAGAAGACGUAGCAAUACGUUUGUAAAGCGGCGAACGGGUGAGGAAUACAUGGGUAACCUACCCUCGAGUGGGGAAUAACUAGCCGAAAGGUUAGCUAAUACCGCGUACGCUUCUUGGACUUCGGUUCAGGGAGGAAAGCGAUGCCGAGGGUAUCGCGCUCUUGGAUGGGCUCAUGUCCUAUCAGCUUGUUGGUGAGGUAACGGCUCACCAAGGCUUCGACGGGUAGCUGGUCUGAGAGGACGAUCAGCCACACUGGCACUGCGACACGGGCCAGACUCUACGGGAGGCAGCAGUAAGGAAUAUUGCGCAAUGGGC